GAUGAGCCCGCGUACCAUUAGCUAGUUGGUGGGGUAACGGCCUACCAAGGCAGCGAUGGUUAGCUGGUCUGAGAGGAUGAUCAGCCACACUGGAACUGACACACGGUCCAGACUCCUACGGGAGGCAGCAGUGAGGAAUUUUGCGCAAUGGGGGGAACCCUGACGCAGCAACGCCGCGUGAGUGAAGAAGGCCUUCGGGUCGUAAAGCUCUGUCGAGUGGGAAGAACAUUUUCAUGGUGAAUAUCCAUGGGGAUUGACGGUACCACAGAAGGAAGCACCGGCUAACUCCGUGCCAGCAGCCGCGGUAAUACGGAGGGUGCGAGCGUUAUUCGGAAUUAUUGGGCGUAAAGAGCGCGUAGGCGGCCUGUCAAGUCAGGUGUGAAAUCCCGGGGCUCAACCCCGGAAGCGCAUUUGAUACUGUAGGGCUUGAGUAUGGGAGAGGGAAGUGGAAUUCCUGGUGUAGCGGUGAAAUGCGUAGAUAUCAGGAGGAACACCGGUGGCGAAGGCGGCUUCCUGGACCAAUACUGACGCUGAGGCGCGAAGGCGUGGGGAGCAAACAGGAUUAGAUACCCUGGUAGUCCACGCAGUAAA
rnacentral:rRNA from 1 species